AAUCAGAAUCUUUUAUCAAGACCUGCAGGUGACUACUGUCCAGAACACUGAUCUGAUACAGGGACCCAAAUGAAGUCAGUAAUGGAUCAGUAUCUCCUCUAAGAAGAAACAUCUUCAAGGCAGUUAUUAAAAACAAACCAACAAAACUCUUGAAAAUAUUUAGCCCCAAAGAAGGAGUAGUAGAAUCCCAAGCACCUGGCUCCUCAGAGACACAGCAUCCCACCAUUUCCACUCCCAUCUUGUUUUCAAGCAGUGGAUAGAAAGGGGUUUAAGAGAGAGAAAACAAGAGGGAAUGAUACAAGAAAAUAAGGCAACAAAACUACAAACCUAUAUUAGCCACUUAUAUGUUUUUCUCCUUCAUAAAAUAUGGACUAUAACACAUUUUUAUUAUUUAGGUGAUUGACAGCUAAUAAAAUAGCACUUAGAAAAAUGUGCCAGCUUGCUAAACACAUUGAGUUCUGGUUUUCCCACAGUUAAUUUGGCUGCUUAGAACUUGGCGGAGUCACCAUAGAUUGUGUCCCUUCUCUUCUACUCCAACCACCUUCUACUUACUACCCAACUAAAGCAACAUCUCUGUGGGCAGACUGCAGGAUGUAGAUGCUUUUAAGAAAUAAAAUAUUACAGGUGUGGAGGAAGCUUCGCAGUCUGGUGCAACCUUGCCCUCCAGAGGUAAAUGACACUGGGAGUCUGGUGUUCUACUGGACCAGUUUUAUACUCUCAGUGUGCCAUAGAAAGCAGAGAAUCAGCCAGUGGAGAAGCAAGGCACAGCUUCCCCUGAGACCGGCAGGGGAAGGAGACGGAUGAGAACAGUGCAACAGGACACGUGAAAACCAACACGGAGGAGCAGCACGGCGAGAGGCGGGAGGCCAGGCAGCUGAGCUUCGUAGUCGGGAUGCUGCUGCAGUGACUUGGGAUUGAGGCUGCCAAGAUCUGGACCAGAAAAAGACCCAGGAGGCACAGGCAGUCAAAGCCAAAAUUAACUAUUGGGAUUGCAUCAAAUUGAGAAGUUUCUGUACUGCAAAAGAAACAGUCAGGAGAGUGAAGAGACAACCGACAGAAUGGGAAAAAAUAUUUGCAAACUAUGCAACAGAUAAAGGGUUAAUAACCAGAAUCUACAAAGAGAUCAAGAAACUCCACAAAAACAAAACCAACAACCCAGUUAAGAGAUGGGCCAAGGACCUCAAUAGACAUUUUUCAAAAGAGGAAAUCCAAAUGGCCAACAGGCACAUGAAAAAAUGUUCAAGGUCAUUAGCAAUCAGGGAAAUGCAAAUCAAAACCACAAUGAGGUUCCACCUCACCCCGGUUAGAAUGGCUCACAUACAGAAAUCUACCAACAACAGAUGCUGGCGAGGAUGUGGGGAAAAAGGGACACUAACCCACUGUUGGUGGGAAUGCAAACUGGUCAAGCCACUAUGGAAGUCAGUCUGGAGAUCCCUCAGAAACCUGAAGAUAACCCUACCGUUCGACCCAGCCAUCCCACUCCUUGGAAUUUACCCAAAGGAAUUUAAAUUGGCAAACAAAAAAGCGGUCUGCAGCCUAAUGUUUAUUGCAGCUCAAUUCACAAUAGCUAAGACCUGGAACCAACCUAAAUGCCCAUCAAUGGUAGACUGGAUAAAGAAAUUAUGGGAUAUGUACUCUUUAGAAUACUAUACCGCAGUAAGAAACAACGAAAUCCAGUCAUUUGCAACAAAAUGGAGGAAUCUGGAACACAUCAUGCUGAGUGAAGUAAGCCAGUCCCAAAGGGACAAAUACCAUAUGUUCUCCCUGAUCGGUGACAACUGACUGAACACCAAAAAGGAAACCUGUUGAAGUGGAAUGGACACUAUGGGAAACGGUGACUUGAUCAGCAUAGCCCUGACUGUUAAUGAACAACUUAAUACAUUAUCCUUCUUAGUAGUUUUUUUGUCUGUUCUACUUAAUAUGACUGGUUUAAUUAUGUAAUUAAUACACAGUUAUUCUUAAGUGUUGAAAUUUAACUGAAAUGUGAUCCCUGUUAAACAUAAGAGUAGGAAUAAGAGAGGGAAGAGAUAUAUAAUUUGGGACAUGCUCAAGCUGACUUGCCCCAAAUGGUAGAGUUAGAAACAUACCAGGGGACUCCAAUUUAAUCCCAUCAAGGUGGCAUGUACCAAUGCCAUCUCACUAUUCCAAGUGAUCAAUUUCAGUUCACAAUUGAUCAUAAUGAAAGGACUAAGAGUCAAAGGGAGCACAUAAACGAGUCUAGUACCUGCUAACACUAACCGAUAGAAUAAAUAAAGGGGAGAGUGAUCCAACAUGGGAAGUGAGAUACUCAGCAGACUCAUAGAAUGGCAGAUGUCCUAAAUAGCACUCUGGCCUCAGAAUCAGCCCUAAAGGCAUUCGGAUCUGGCUGAAAAGCCCAUGAGAGUAUUUCAGGCAUGGAAAGCCAAGACACUCUGGCCAAAGAUCUCUGUGAGUGAGAUCUCAGUGGAAAGAACAGGUCUUCAAAGAAGGAGGUACCUUUCUCUGAAGGGAGGAGAGAACCUCCACUUUGACUAUGACCUUGUCUAAACAAGAUAAGAGUCGGAGAACUCAGAGGGCUUCCAUAGCCUUGGAAACUCAUGACUGGAGCAUAGGGAGAUUACUGAUGCCAUAGACAGGAGUGUCAAUUGGUAAAGUCAACAACAGGAGUCACUGUGCACUUACUCCUCAUGUAGGAUCUCUGUCCUUAAUGUGCUGUACAUUGAGAUUUAAUGCUAUAACGAGUACUCAAACAAUAUAUUUCACUUUGUGUUUCUAUGGGGGUGCAAACUGUUGAAAUCUUUACUUAAUGCAUACUAAACUGAUCCUCUGUAAAAAAAAAAAAAAAAAAAGAAAGAAAUUAUCAGCUCCCAACUUGACUCUCACUGGGAUUAAACAUGACAAUAGGUCUGAUCUGAUUUCAUCAUCAUUUAAAAAAAAUCAUCUAUUAUUUUUCACUUUAUGUUUCUGUGUGGGAGCAAACUGUUGAAAUCCUUACUUAAUGUAUACUAAGCUGAUCUUCUGUAUAUUAAGAUAAUCGAAAAUGAAUCUUGAUGUGAAUGGAAGGGG